rnacentral:tRNA from 1 species
UUGACGCGCAACAUGGAUAGCGCGGCAGCCUCCUAAGUUGCAGGUCGAGGGAUCGAAGCCCUCCAA